AACGAACGCUGGCGGCAUGCCUAAUACAUGCAAGUCGAACGAGAUCUUCGGAUCUAGUGGCGCACGGGUGCGUAACGCGUGGGAAUCUGCCCUUGGGUUCGGAAUAACUUCUGGAAACGGAAGCUAAUACCGGAUGAUGACGUAAGUCCAAAGAUUUAUCGCCCAAGGAUGAGCCCGCGUAGGAUUAGCUAGUUGGUGAGGUAAAGGCUCACCAAGGCGACGAUCCUUAGCUGGUCUGAGAGGAUGAUCAGCCACACUGGGACUGAGACACGGCCCAGACUCCUACGGGAGGCAGCAGUAGGGAAUAUUGGACAAUGGGCGAAAGCCUGAUCCAGCAAUGCCGCGUGAGUGAUGAAGGCCUUAGGGUUGUAAAGCUCUUUUACCCGGGAUGAUAAUGACAGUACCGGGAGUAUAAGCUCCGGCUAACUCCGUGCCAGCAGCCGCGGUAACAC
rnacentral:rRNA from 1 species